UACGUAGGGGGCAAGCGUUGUCCGGAAUCAUUGGGCGUAAAGAGCGCGUAGGCGGCCCUGUAAGUCCGCUGUGAAAGUCAAGGGCUCAACCCUUGAAUGCCGGUGGAUACUGCAGGGCUAGAGUCCGGAAGAGGCGAGUGGAAUUCCUGGUGUAGCGGUGAAAUGCGCAGAUAUCAGGAGGAACACCGAUGGCGAAGGCAGCUCGCUGGGACGGUACUGACGCUGAGGCGCGAAAGCCAGGGGAGCGAACGGG
rnacentral:rRNA from 1 species